UUGCUAAAAUCUAACAAGAAUGGGAGAUAAAGGGUUUUGUUCGAGCAAAAUCAUCAAUAACAGUGUCGAAUUUUAUAAAAUAUGCAAGAAACGCCAAGUACAGAUGAUACAGAUGAUGCACAGGUGUACGAAAACGCUGCCUUUAAAUACUUGGAUACCUUUAUGUUAUAGUCACAAACGAAAGGUGUUGAAAGAUUGAAGCAUUCAUUUAUCUGUCUAGACAGAAUACAGAUAGACAGAUAAAUUCAUUUAAAAGCCACUUCGCCACAAAUAGACGUUUGCAACACCCAACUUUCAAAUUUAUCAGAAUUUACGUCGUUUUUUGUUUAUCUCUUUUGACAUGCAUUAACAUAUAGAUAGUCUAUUUUUGUCAUUAUCUAAAUUAAACAUCAUUGUUUAAUUUAGAUAAUGACAAUGUAUUUAUUUAAAUGACUUCAUAGUCUUUAAAUAAAAAAAAAUAACAUCAUUAUAUACAAAACAUGCACUAAUAAUUUAAAAUAAUUACUAGGGAUAUACCUGUACAAUCACGAAAUCAAUAUGACACCUGACUGCAGCGACCUUGCAUGGUCGCCAUGUAGUCUGGAGGACGCAAGUACGACAGGACGUGUCGACCUCUGCACCUCGUAUCAUCAUUUCAAAUCAACUAGAGGUAUUCUACGUCCAAUACUGCAUUAUAAUAACAAAGCAUCUGCAAGAUCAUUAACUAUAGUGUUACACUUCAAUCGAAUUAUUGGCUGUCAAACAAGAUAGAAAUAUAUCUACAGAUUUAAUAACUAUCAUAACUGAUAUAACAUGUUAGUACGUAGAUCUCUACGGAUCACAUAGCUUACUAUAUAUCUACCUAAAUAAUAUAUAUAAUAUAAUGACUUAUUUCUAUUUAUUUUAAUUAACUAAUCCUAAAUCUAUAUAUAUAAAUAUUAUUAAUAAUAAUAAAACUUUUGCUAGAUUUUUUUUUAAUUUAAAGGUUUUCAGUUUUCCCGUGAGUGCCGUAAAAGCCGACUAAGGGAAGGCGAGGGAUGGGCAGCAGUGUCCCUCUUAAAACAUCUUUAAAGCCUGACUGCGGUUACCAAUCCGACUGCCAAGCGUGGCAACUACUAGCAAAAUUCCCCAAGAGGGAGGCUUAUGUUUAGCAGUGGACAGAUAAAGUCUGAUAUGAUGAUGUUGAUAUAUAUCUAUAACCAGAUUCUUUAUGAGAUCGAUUACAGAGAAAGAAAUCUAUCGAGUGUGUUACUAACAUGUCUUAGUUCAUCCAAUUUCAACAUAGAUUAAGGAUAAUAACUACCUACUUUCACAGUACGUCUUAUGGAUUUACAUCAAUUCCGCGUACUCUUGAUUUAUAUAAAAAUGUUUGAUAUUUUAAUCAUAAACUACAUUAAAUUAGUUCCUUCUAUAUACUCGUAGAUAUCUAAUGUGACUCAUGUACAAUAUAGAUGGCACUGUCCCAUUGUUUGCCCACGCUGUCUAUAAAGACGGUCCAAAAUAACGUAACUGAUUACUCUGACAGUUUAAUGACUAAUAAAAUGUUCUAUUAACUAAAUGUUCACCGCCAAAAGUAUUAUGUUUUGGGUAAUAAUAAAUUUAGAGCAUCUGUUUAUUAUUAAUUUUAGAAUUCCAAUUUGAGUUUCUAAUUUUAAAAAAUGUAGUCAUUGGGCCAAUGGAGUUAAUGGAUCUUUUUGGAUCGAACUUUUUAAAAUAGGUUUAUCUUGAGAUCGAUACCAAAAUUCAAGAUAUUGAAUGCUUUGGGGGAUUACGUCGAUCCCUCAA